GUCGAACGGUAUCAUCCUUUCGGGGGUGAGAGAGUGGCGAACUGGUGAGUAACACGUAGGUUAUCUACCCUCAAGACGGGGACAACCCAGGGAAACUUGGGCUAAUACCGGAUGUGAGCAACUUUUAGUUGUUUGAAAGGUGGCGUAAGCUGUCGCUUGGGGAUGAGCCUGCGUCCUAUUAGUUAGUUGGUGAGGUAACGGCUCACCUAGGCAAUGAUAGGUAGGCGGCCUUAACGGGUGGUCGCCCACACUGGGAUUGAGAUACGGCCCAGACUCCUACGGGAGGCAGCAGUCGAGAAUAGUCUACAAUGGUCGGAAGACUGAUAGUGCGACGCCGCGUGAACGAUGAAUCCCUUCGGGGUGUAAAGUUCUUUUAUAUGUGAGCAGUGCUUCUUAUAUUAAGAGUAUGGGGAGAGAGAUAUUAGCAUAUGAAUAAGCAACGGCUAACUCCGUGCCAGCAGCCGCGGUAACACGGGGGUUGCGAGCGUUGUCCGGAAUUACUAGGCGUAAAGGGCAGGCAGGCGGAUCCAUAAGUUUAUCGUUUAAGGCGUCGGCUUAACCGGCGUAGGGCGGUAGAUACUGUGGAUCUGGAAUGCGGUUGGGGAAGACAGAAUUCCUGGUGUAGCGGUGGAAUGCGCAGAGAUCAGGAGGAAUACCGAAGGCGAAGGCAGUCUUCCAAGCCGUUAUUGACGCUCAACUGCGAAGGUGUGGGUAUCAAACAGGAUUAGAUACCCUGGUAGUCCACACAGUAAACGAUAAUCACUGGGUGUCGGGUUCGCAUAGGAUUCGGUGCCGUAGCUAACGCGUUAAGUGAUUCGCCUGGGGAGUACGAUCGCAAGGUUGAAACUCAAAGGAAUUGACGGGGGCCCGCACAAGCGGUGGAGCAUGUGGUUUA
rnacentral:rRNA from 1 species